rnacentral:SRP_RNA from 1 species
GCCGGGUGUGGUGGCUCACGCCUGUAAUCCCAGCACUUUGGGAGGCUGAGGUAGGCGGAUCAUCUGAGGUCAGGAGUUCAAGACCAGCCUGACCAACAUGACGAAACCCUAUCUCUA